ACGGGUAUUCUUGGGUGUAUAAUA
rnacentral:miRNA from 17 species